UACGUAGGGUGCAAGCGUUUGUCCGGAAUUAUUGGGCGUAAAGAGCUCGUAGGCGGCUUGUCACGUCGGAUGUGAAAGCCCGAGGCUUAACCUCGGGUCUGCAUUCGAUACGGGCUAGCUAGAGUGUGGUAGGGGAGAUCGGAAUUCCUGGUGUAGCGGUGAAAUGCGCAGAUAUCAGGAGGAACACCGGUGGCGAAGGCGGAUCUCUGGGCCAUUACUGACGCUGAGGAGCGAAAGCGUGGGGAGCGAACAGG
rnacentral:rRNA from 1 species